AAAAAAAAAAAAAAAAAAAAUCGUGUCAUCAAAGUCAUUGAACUGUGUCACUGUAUCAGAAACUGUAGCACCAAGUCUAAUGUGUUUUUUGAGCCGAGAAACAUGAAACAGAGGAUGGAUAGAAGAACCAGGUGGCAACUGAAACUUGUAAGCAGCUGGUCCAAUUUUCUCCAGAACAAGAUAUGGACCAUAAAAUUUGCAGCUGGGGUAAAAUCUGCAGAAAGGUUAUCAUAAAGGGCUUGGAAAAGACUCAUUUCAAUGCUGGUAUGGUAAAAGUGUUGUACCACCAUUGACGUAGACUUGACCAUUUGGACCAAGAAUUGGAUUUGGCAAACCCAUGCACCUUGAAUAUGUUUAUGGCAUGUAGAGUUCUUUUUUCAAUGAGUUAUAGAAAGGACAUGUGGGUACUCAAGAGACUAGCUGUCCCAUGGGCCUUCCUCAACAUGUGUCUAGAGAUGAACUCCUAUCUAUGUUACUAGAAGCCAAAAGAAAAAGGUUAGAUCCUCAUUUUGGAACUAAUGCUUCCGAUUUCAGUUUUGGAGAUUGGCAAGGUAGUUUCUACUAAGUUCCCUGAUUUGGCUUUCAAGAAAACUUUGCUAAGAGAUCUAAAACUGACAGGAUAUGAAGAUCUUUUAAAUUUGGUGCUUCAAUUCUACAAAGUUCCCUGAUUUUCUUAAACCAACGUCAGUAUUGGAGAUUGGCAAGGUAAUAUCUACUAGGUUCCCUGAUUUUCUUCAAAGAAUACUUUGCUAAGAGAUCGAAAACUGACUGGAGAUGAAGCUUUGGAAUUUGGUGCUUUAAUGUUUUUGGGAAGUAUUCCCUAAACGGGGUUAAAAAAAUGAAUAACUAAAAGAAUGAUAAGGUAGUUUCUACUGAGUUCCCUGAUUUGAUUUCAAGAAGACUUUGCCAAGAGACCUAAAACUGACUGCGGAUGAAGAUAUUUUGAAUUUGUGCUUCAAUGUUUGUGAGAAGUAUUCCCUAAAUGGGAUUAAAAUAAAUAAAUAAAUAAAAGAAAAACUUUUAUAGCUCAUGUAUGCAAGUAAUUCAGAUGCAACGAGGUCGGUCCCAAGGCCCAUUCUCGAUACGAAUUUAGGCCUCUUGGACAAGACUUUUGUCUCGCAGCAUCUCUAUAAUGAGACUGUCUAACUCGGGAACUCCUAGCCUUAUUAUCUUAUAGGAUUCUUGUUAGGAAACAAUCCAAUCAAAUUUACAAAAUGGUUCAUUUGCAACAUGGCUUACUAUCAGACUAUUUAUUAUUUCAUUAGUCUCCAAACUAUAGCACCCUUCUUUGAAUCAAGUCUUGUCUUCAACUUUGAAGUGAGGAAACUGAGAUUGCAGGAAUGACCUAUCUUCCCAAGAGGCAGCAGCAGCAGCAGGCAUGCUUUUCCAAAGAGCUAACACUUGAGAGACAGUAGCAUUAUGCCUGGUAAUGACUCUAGCAUUCAGGAUUCUUAUGAUUCAAAAAUCUAAGUCGUGAACUGUGGCAUUGUGUCAGAAAUAUUAGAACUGUGUCCAAUGUGUUUUUUGAUUCGAGAAACAUGCAACCGAGGAUGGAUAGAAGAACUAGGUGCUAACUGCAACUUGUAAGCAGCUGUUCCAAUUUUCUCCAAAACAAGAUGUGGACCAUAAAGUUUAGGACAGUUCAAGUUUUUUCUUAGAGCAACUGACUCAUGUAUAGGAGGUUGUAGUUUCGGAUAAAACGCAAUCCCCCACUCUACAGUUGCAGCGGCGUAAAACCUGCAGAGAGGUUAUCAUAAAGGGCUUGGAAUGGACUCAUUUUAAUGCUGGAAUUGUAGGAACCAUUGUACAACCAUUCAGCUAGACUUAUUACUUUUUUUUCUCCCAAUGUGUUAUACAAAGGACAUGUCUGCGUCUAAUCUGAAAGACUCAGCUCCACGGACCUUCCUCAACUUGUGUCUAGAGAUGAACUCCUAUCUAUAUGUUACUACAAGCUGAAAAAAAAAAAAAAAAAAAA